CGUACGAGCCGAAUAAGGUGAAACCGCAAAAGGCUCAUUAAAUCAGUUUUGGUUCACUAGAGCGUGUUGACAGUUUCUGUCUUGGAUAACUGUGGUAAUUCUAGAGCUAAUACAUGCAACAAAGUUUUAACCAGUGAUGGAAGAAACGCUUUUAUUAGAUCAAAAUCAAUCGGUCUGGUUUUACUAGUCCGUUGACUUUGGUGACUCUGAAUAACCACGUAGAUCGCAUGGUCUUGUACCGGCGACUUAUCUUUCAAAUGCCUGACUUAUCAACUGUCGAUGGUAGACUCUGUGUCUACCAUGGUUGUAACGGGUAACGGAGAAUCAGGGUUCGAUUCCGGAGAGGGAGCCUGAGAAACGGCUACCACAUCCAAGGAAGGCAGCAGGCACGCAAAUUACCCACUCCCGGCACGGGGAGGUAGUGACAAAAAAUAACGAUACGGGACUCAUCCGAGGCCCCGUAAUCGGAAUGAGUACACUCUAAAUCCUUUAACAAGGAUCCAUUGGAGGGCAAGUCUGGUGCCAGCAGCCGCGGUAAUUCCAGCUCCAAUAGCGUAUAUUAAAGUUGUUGCGGUUAAAAAGCUCGUAGUUGGUUCUGUGUGCCACGCUGUCGGUUCACCGCCUGCCGGUGCAACUGGCAUGUCGUGGGAUGUCCUGCCGGAGGCGUUCUGUGAAACUUAAGUAUAGUAUCAAUAAUUUUAUUGGUUCUAUCUUUUGUCCUCAGUCGCCGAUUUAAUCCUGCCGUGGUGCUCUUCACCGAGUGUCGAGGUAGGCCGGCACGUUUACUUUGAACAAAUUAGAGUGCUCAAAGCAGGCUGAAUUCUGCCUGAAUAGUGGUGCAUGGAAUAAUAGAACAGGACCUCGAUUCUAUUUUGUUGGUUUUCGGAAUUCGAGGUAAUGAUCAAUGUGGACAGUCGGGGGCAUUCGUAUUGCGACGUUAGAGGUGAAAUUCUUGGAUCGUCGCAAGACGCACGAGAGCGAAAGCAUUUGCCAAGUAUGUCUUAGUUGAUCAAGAACGAAAGUUAGAGGUUCGAAGGCGAUCAGAUACCGCCCUAGUUCUAACCAUAAACGAUGCCAGCUAGCGAUCCGCCAAUGUUUAUAUCAUGACUCGGCGGGCAGCCCCCGGGAAACCAAAGCUUUUGGGUUCCGGGGGAAGUAUGGUUGCAAAGCUGAAACUUAAAGGAAUUGACGGAAGGGCACCACCAGGAGUGGAGCAUGCGGCUUAAUUUGACUCAACACGGGAAACCUCACCAGGCCCGGACAUUGGAAGGAUUGACAGAUUGAUAGCUCUUUCUUGAUUCAGUGGGUAGUGGUGCAUGGCCGUUCUUAGUUGGUGGAACGAUUUGUCUGGUUAAUUUCGAUAACGAACGAGACUCUAGCCUAUUAAAUAGUCGCUCCGGUAUCCAAUGCUACCGGCGACAUUUUAUCUUCUUAAAGGGACAGGCGGCUCUCAGCCGCACGAGAUUGAGCAAUAACAGGUCUGUGAUGCCCUUAGAUGUUCUGGGCCGCACGCGCGCUACACUGAAAGAAUCAGCGUGUGUCUCCCUGGCCGAAAGGCCCGGGUAACCCGCUGAACCUCUUUCGUGCUAGGAAUUGGGGCUUGCAAUUGUUCCCCAUGAACGAGGAAUUCCCAGUAAGCGCGAGUCAUAAGCUCGCGUUGAUUACGUCCCUGCCCUUUGUACACACCGCCCGUCGCUACUACCGAUUGAAUGAUUUAGUGAGGUCUUCGGACUGGUGAUGAGCGGCAAUCGUCUUGUACGGUGCCGAAGUUACCGGAAAGAUGACCAAACUUGAUCAUUUAGAGGAAGUAAAAGUCGUAACAAGGUUUCCGUAGGAAAACCCUUGCGGAAAACCUUGGUUACGACUUUUUAC
rnacentral:rRNA from 1 species